UACGGAAGGCAGCAGUGGGGAAUAUUGGACAAUGGGCGCAAGCCUGAUCCAGCCAUGCCGCGUGUGUGAAGAAGGCCUUCGGGUUGUAAAGCACUUUUGUCCGGAAAGAAAAGCUUAGGGUUAAUAACCUUGAGUCAUGACGGUACCGGAAGAAUAAGCACCGGCUAACUUCGUGCCAGCAGCCGCGGUAAUACGAAGGGUGCAAGCGUUACUCGGAAUUACUGGGCGUAAAGCGUGCGUAGGUGGUUUUGUUAAGUCUGAUGUGAAAGCCCUGGGCUCAACCUGGGAAUGGCAUUGGAAACUGGCUUACUAGAGUGCGGUAGAGGGGUGUGGAAUUCCCGGUGUAGCAGUGAAAUGCGUAGAUAUCGGGAGGAACAUCUGUGGCGAAGGCGACACCCUGGGACCAGCACUGACACUGAGGCACGAAAGCGUGGGGAGCAAACAGGAUUAGAUACC
rnacentral:rRNA from 1 species